GACGAACGCUGGCGGCGUGCUUAACACAUGCAAGUCGAACGGAAAGGCCCUGCUUUUGUGGGGUGCUCGAGUGGCGAACGGGUGAGUAACACGUGAGUAACCUGCCCUUGACUUUGGGAUAACUUCAGGAAACUGGGGCUAAUACCGGAUAGGAGCUCCUGCUGCAUGGUGGGGGUUGGAAAGUUUCGGCGGUUGGGGAUGGACUCGCGGUUUAUCAGCUUGUUGGUGGGGUAGUGGCUUACCAAGGCUUUGACGGGUAGCCGGCCGGAGAGGGUGACCGGCCACAUUGGGACUGAGAUACGGCCCGGACUCCUACGGGAGGCAGCAGGGGGGAAUAUGGCACAAUGGGCGGAGGCCUGAGGAAGCAACGCCGCGUGCGGGAUGACGGCCUUCGGGUUGUAAACCGCUUUCGCCUGUGACGAAGCGUGAGUGACGGUAAUGGGUAAAGAAGCACCGGCUAACUACGUG
rnacentral:rRNA from 1 species